GACGAACGCUGGCGGCGUGCUUAACACAUGCAAGUCGAACGGAAAGGCCCUGCUUUUGUGGCGUGCUCGAGUGGCGAACGGGAGAGUAACCCGUGAGUAACCUGACCUUGACUUGAGGCUAACUCUAGGAAACUGGGGGUAAUACCGGAAAGGAGCUAAUGCUGCCUGGUGGGGGUUGGAGAGUUUCUGCGGAUGGGGAUGGACACGCGGUUUAUCAGCUGGUGGGUGGGGUAGUGGCUUAGCAGGGCUUUGACGGGUAGCGGGCCUGAGAGAGUGACCGGCACCAUUGGGGCAGAGAGACGGCCCAGACACCUCCGGGGGGCAGAGGUGGGGAAUAUUGUCCAAUGGGCGGGAGCGUGAGGCAGCAACGCGGCGUGCGGGAGUACGGCGUUCGGGUGGUAAACCGUGUUCGCCUGUGACGAGGCGUGAUGGCGGGAAAUGGGGAAAGAGACACCGGCAACUCACGU
rnacentral:rRNA from 1 species